rnacentral:rRNA from 1 species
GUAAUGAUGGCCAGGCUGUCUCCACCCGAGACUCAGUGAAAUUGAACUCGCUGUGAAGAUGCAGUGUACCCGCGGCAAGACGGAAAGACCCCGUGAACCUUUACUAUAGCUUGACACUGAACAUUGAGCCUUGAUGUGUAGGAUAGGUGGGAGGCUUUGAAGCGUGGACGCCAGUCUGCGUGGAGCCAACCUUGAAAUACCACCCUUUAAUGUUUGAUGUUCUAACGUUGGCCCCUUACCGGGGUUGCGGACAGUGUCUGGUGGGUAGUUUGACUGGGGCGGUCUCCUCCCAAAGCGUAACGGAGGAGCACGAAGGUUAGCUAAUCCUGGUCGGACAUCAGGAGGUUAGUGCAAUGGCAUAAGCUAGCUUGACUGCGAGCGUGACGGCGCGAGCAGGUGCGAAAGCAGGUCAUAGUGAUCCGGUGGUUCUGAAUGGAAGGGCCAUCGCUCAACGGAUAAAAGGUACUCCGGGGAUAACAGGCUGAUACCGCCCAAGAGUUCAUAUCGACGGCGGUGUUUGGCACCUCGAUGUCGGCUCAUCACAUCCUGGGGCUGAAGUAGGUCCCAAGGGUAUGGCUGUUCGCCAUUUAAAGUGGUACGCGAGCUGGGUUUAGAACGUCGUGAGACAGUUCGGUCCCUAUCUGCCGUGGGCGCUGGAGAAUUGAGGGGGGCUGCUCCUAGUACGAGAGGACCGGAGUGGACGCAUCACUGGUGUUCGGGUUGUCAUGCCAAUGGCACUGCCCGGUAGCUAAAUGCGGAAGAGAUAAGUGCUGAAAGCAUCUAAGCACGAAACUUGCCCCGAGAUGAGUUCUCCCUGAGACUUUAAGUCUCCUGAAGGAACGUUAAAGACGAUGACGUUGAUAGGCCGGGUGUGUAAGCGCAGCGAUGCGUUGAGCUAACCGGUACUAAUGAACCGUGAGGCUUAACCUU